rnacentral:rRNA from 1 species
AAGCGGUGGAGCAGUGUGGUUUAAUUCGACGCAACGCGAAGUAACCUUACCGUGGGCUUGACAUCUGCGGAAUUUCUACGAAAGUUAGGAAGUGCCUUCGGGGAGCCGCAAGACAGGUGCUGCAUGGCUGUCGUCAGCUCGUGUCGUGAGAUGUUGGGUUAAGUCCCGCAACGAGCGCAACCCUUAUCUUUAGUUACCAUCAUUCAGUUGGGCACUCUAGCGAGACUGCCGGUAAUAAACCGGAGGAAGGUGGGAUGACGUCAAAUCAUCAUGCCCCUUAUGACCUGGGCUACACACGUGCUACAAUGGUUGGUACAACGAGUUGCGAGUCGGUGACGGCGAGCUAAUCUCUUAAAGCCAAUCUCAGUUCGGAUUGUAGGCUGCAACUCGCCUACAUGAAGUCGGAAUCGCUAGUAAUCGUGGAUCAGAAUGUCACGGUGAAUACGUUCCCGGGUCUU